rnacentral:rRNA from 1 species
UUCAGAGGUCCCAAGCGUUGUUCGGAUUCAUUGGGCGUAAAGGGCGCGUAGGCGGUCAGCACAAGUCAGUUGUGAAAUCUCCGGGCUUAACUCGGAAAGGUCAACUGAUACUGUGCGACUAGAGUGCAGAAGGGGCAACUGGAAUUCUCGGUGUAGCGGUGAAAUGCGUAGAUAUCGAGAGGAACACCUGCGGCGAAGGCGGGUUGCUGGGCCGACACUGACGCUGAGGCGCGAAAGCUAGGGGAGCGAACGGG